AUCACGGUCUGGGAGGUUGUCCUCUGCGCCCUCAAAUACCUGGACACAGCUGUGUGGCUUCAGCAGCAUCUCCCUGAAGAGACAGAACAGACAGCAAGAGAUGGGGUACUCCAUAGAUUAAUCCGGAAACACCGAGAAGACCCUCCUUGACUCCUCCUCGCCACCAAGUGGGGCUGGAGCCACUUCCGGUCUUUUCCUGCCCGCACAUGCUCCGGAAGUAAUGUCAUCCUCUACCGGCGCCUUAGACCUUUCCGAGGGAACUUCGCUGCCACGUGAUGUCCGGUAGUGACCCGAGAAAUAAUGGCCCGCCACCACCUGGACCCGCCACUGCCCGGCCCAAGGACUUCUUCCGUGGGCCCUCGCGCCGUGGACUUACCGCCCCACCGCUCUGGGUCGCGGCUUCCGGUGCCGGAGACCGGAAGUACUCGCGGGUAGGGCGGGGCGGAAUCAGGAAGUGUGGGGUGAGAGGGGGCGGGGUUGGGGUGCUGCCGGGCGCAAGCUGUCGUGGGAGGGGGGUGUGAGGUUUGUGCGAGUGGGAACUAAGGCGUUUCCUCCGCUCGGACUUUUGGGAGGCUUGGGUGGAGCCACCUUCAGGCUGUAUUGCUUUCAUCUCUGCAACGGGGGCAAUAAUCUCUGACUCACCCAAUUGCCGUAAGCGCCCCCUCCUUUAUCCCGUAGGAUCCCAUCAGUCAGCAAAUACAUUCCUUCCUCCUGUUAGGUGCCCGGCAAUAGACUGAGCAAAGGGACUGAGAAUUACGAUUUCCCCACAAUUCACCCUUUCUGGAGCCAGAUUAAAUCAUCCCGGCUCCUCUCCACCUCUGUAAUCCCACAACUCUUUUGUGUUCACCCCUCUCCUCCGUGGCCAACCAAUUGCAUGAACCUCGAGCACACAAGCUGCCUGUAAACAAGAAUGACCCUGGGUCUCCCUUACCCUCUCCAUUCUCAGCCUGUGUCCACCCUUGAGCCUGACUUGAUGCCUUCCCGCAUUCAAAAGACAAGUCCUGACCAGACUCCAAAGACACAAAAGAGUUGUUUUUUUUUGUUUGUUUUGUUUUGUUUUUUUAACUGAUAUUCUCCUGGGGAGAUGGGGGGAGGGAGUUACAUCACAAAUCACACAGCAGACUUUCUAAAAAUCUUAAAACAUCCCCACCACCACCACCACCAGUUUCCCUUUGCAGCUGCCACAUCUCUCCAUAGGUCUCCAAACCAUGCUCUGUUCUCAUGAACUCCUCCUAACCCCUUCCCAGCUGUCUCCCUGGAUUUUUCUUUCCAAUUAUAACAGAGGACCUUUUAUUCCCUGUCACCCUCUCCCAAACUUCCCCUCUCCAUCAUCAAAACAAAGGCACCUUCAGGAGAAUCUGCCCUCCUUAGAUGUGGGGAGAUUGUCAAUACUUAAAAUUUCAGUUUUUCCUUGCUGAUAGUAAGUAGUCUUGGUUCAGCUUGCAUUUAUUCAUUCCUCCAGCAUUCAGCAGACAUUCCCUGACUUUCUAUGUAGGUCAAAUGCUACAGCUACUGGGAUGAGUAAGAAGUGGUACUUUGAGUUGAGAAUUUUACUCUGCUUUCGUAAUUGCAGACCCCCAUUACUAGAAGGAAUGUAUAUUUGAGCACCUCUCUCAUUAUUUAGUGCCAGAGACUCAUGAACAGAUACCAUUUACCAUGCCAAUGCUGUUCUGUCAGACUGUAAGCAGGAAGACUAAUUAUACCCAUGUUUUAAAUCCUUCUCCCACCCCACUACUCACAAGAUGUAUUUAACAGCAAGGUUUAAAUGCCCACUGGACUCUGAGUUUUUGGAAGGUGGUGACUUGGUCUAAUUUAUAUUUGCAUCUCUACUGCCUUGCAUAGGACCAGGCACUAAUAAAAGCUGGAAUUUCUAUAUUUUUUAUCUCCCA